ACAGGUACCUGGUAUCCUUGGGAUGUCAAACAGAAAGUCACAGGGUAGUUCCUAAGGGACUAU
rfam:Sus scrofa isolate TJ Tabasco breed Duroc chromosome 13, whole genome shotgun sequence.